rnacentral:piRNA from 1 species
UAAGCUUGUUAGGUUGCAUUUUU